rnacentral:sRNA from 1 species
GGAUUCCCCUAGUAACUGCGAGUGAAGCGGGAAAAGCUCAAAUUUAAAAUCUGGCGGUUUCACCGUCCGAGUUGUAAUUUAGAGAAGUGUUACCCGUGCUGGACCGUGUACAAGUCUCCUGGAAUGGAGCGUCGUGGAGGGUGAGAAUCCCGUAUAUGACACGGACUACCAGGACUUUGUGGUGCGCUCUCGAAGAGUCGAGUUGUUUGGGAAUGCAGCUCAAAAUGGGUGGUAAAUUCCAUCUAAAGCUAAAUAUUGGGGAGAGACCGAUAGCGAACAAGUACCGUGAGGGAAAGAUGAAAAGAACUUUGGAAAGAGAGUUAAACAGUACGUGAAAUUGCUGAAAGGGAAACGCUUGAAGUCAGUCGCGUUGUGCGGGAUUCAGCCUGGCUUUUGCUUGGUGUACUUCCUGUAUGAUGGGUCAGCAUCAGUUUUGACCGGUGGAUAAGGGCGUAGGGAAUGUGGCAUCCUCGGAUGUGUUAUAGCCUUGCGUCGCAUGCAUCGGUUGGGACUGAGGAACUCAGCACGCCGCAAGGCGGGGUUUUACCACCUUCGUGCUUAGGAUGCUGGCAUAAUGGCUUUAAUCGACCC